GGAAGGAUCAUUAUCACGUAUACCACGUACCACACUUUGUGAACUAUAGAGUUGGGUCAAGUUUUGAUUGGAUGGGUGUGAUUAGUAGAUUAGAGAGAUUAAAAUAGUAGAUGCGUUCUUUAUUUUCUCUCUCUCUCUCUCUCUCUCUUCCCCCUCCUUCAACUCUUGGAGUUUUGCUUUAGAUGGGCAGCUCACCUAGUAAUUUUUGAUUAAUAAACAAGCACUUGUUUUUAAUCACAAAUUACCCAGGUUCUUGACUCUGUAUGAACUAUCAAUGUUCUUGCCUUGGGUUAUUGUUACGGACGGCGAUUAUACAUUUAAAUGAUGCGAUCAUUUCUGUAUAAUCGACCAAGUAGUUUCAAUCCUUUGGAAAAGACUUGAUUUAGUUCAUACUUUCCAUCUUAUUUACUCUAUUUUUUUGUCGAAAGACAUUAAAAUUCUUUUAAAGUUAUUGACACUCGAAAGACUGUCAUGUUCUUUAAAAACCGAACAUUGUACAACUCUUAGCAACGGAUAUCUUGGUUCUGGCAACGAUGAAGAACGCAGCGAAAUGCGAUACGUAAUGCGAAUUGCAGAAUUCAGUGAAUCAUCAAAUCUUCGAACGCAGAUUGCACUCUCGGGUUAUCCCUGGGAGUACGCCUCUUCCAGUAUCGACAUUAACUUCACUCGGCUGCGUGCUUCAUAUAUUAACAACUUGAGUUUAAUUUCUCUCUUUGUUUUAUAUGAUUGCAACGUCAGACGGACAUUGGUCGUCAGUCUUAGCUUUCUUGAGACUGUUGACUUAAAGAUAUGUACUUACUUUGAGUGACAAUACCGAAAGCUUCACUAACCCCAUUAACAAAAUUGUUAGUGACGGUGGAUAAUUUUUCAGAGUAACUGCGAGUUUUCUGAGAAUUCCGUACGUCUCUAGCUGUGUUCAAUGGUACUGUUAUGAAGUGAAUUUGUCCUUGGUAAGUCCAAAGGAAUAUUUUUCUGACCCACUUCUCGAAAGAGUAGUAGUAAAGAAAAAUCUCAUUACUAGAUCUGGGAUGAAGCGAGAGGACCCGCCGAAUUUAAGCAUAUUAUUAAGCGGAGGAAAAGAAACUAACAAGGAUUCCCCUAGUAACGGCGAGUGAAGCGGGAAGUGCUCAAAAUGAAAAUCGGAUGCCUAAACGGGUAUUCGAGUUGUAAUCUAAAGACGUGUUUUCAGCAUGUGACCCGGGUAUAACUCUUUUGAAACAAGGGAUCAUAGAGGGUGACAAUCCCGUCUUUGACCCGGAGUUCGCUGCGUACGAUACACGUUCUAAGAGUCGAGUAGCUUGGGAUUGCUGCUCAAAAUGGGUGGUAAACUCCAUCUAAAGCUAAAUACCGGCCAGAGACCGAUAGCGAACAAGUACCGUGAGGGAAAGAUGAAAAGAACUUUGAAAAGAGAGUUAAAAAGUACUUGAAAUUGCUAAGAGGGAACCUGAGAGAACCAGUCAUUCUUUAAGCUAUGCUUACUACCCGCUGGCGGUGCUUGGGCUUUGUCAAGUUCCCUAGUGUCUUGCAGAGUUUAAGAUGCUUUUCAGUGAGUGGGUCCUAUAGUUUAGAGAGAGUCAGAAUCAAUUCUGCUCGCCGGAGAAAACCAAGGGAAAGAUAGGAUGCGGGGGGUUUCUUCCGUAUCUGUUAUAGUCCCUUGGCGAUACGGUGGGUGGGAUUGAGGAAAAAUGACAAGGCACCCCUUUACUGGGAUUGGUCGCCAUGGUCUGCGUAGUUAUUAUGUUGAGAGAACAAAGUUCUGUCUCGUGAGAAGCUGCGUACUGCUGUGGUAUACUAUUCGUGUCCUUCGCGAUUCUGACGAAAUGGUUUUCUCUGACCCGUCUGGAAACACGGACCAAGGAGUCUAACAUAUAUGCGAGUAUUUGGGUGGAAAACCCUGAUGCGUAAUGAAAGUAAAGGCAGCUUCGGUUGCUGAGGUAGGAACCCUUUCUUCGGAUUGGGGGCACUAUCGUCCGAUCGAUCACUUGUGAUAGAUUUGAGUAAGAGCAUAUCUGUUGGGACCCGAAAGAUGGUGAUCUAUGCCUGAACAGGGUGAAGCCAGGGGAAACUCUGGUGGAGGCUCGAAGCGAUACUGACGUGCAAAUCGUUCGUCUGAUUUGGGUAUAGGGGCGAAAGACUAAUCGAACCAUCUAGUAGCUGGUUCCCUC
rnacentral:misc_RNA from 1 species